AUACAAGCUACUUCAGUCAAAGUGCUGGGGAGAUGGAGAUGGAUUAUGUCAAGAUCAUGAUAAUAAUGAAGACUGUUUAGUAACUCCGGCUGAAGGGGGCACGGCAUGUAUGAGAUAUAAGGAAUGUAGAGCAGCUUACAUUGGCACAAGGGGAACCUUCAUUCAAGUUCCUUGCACUUGCAGUGGUUUGCAAAAUACAGAACAAUCAAUGUGCAAACAGUUCCAAAAUAUGCUUCGCCAUAGGUCCUGCUACACUCACGGUUCCUAUCCUACAAGUGCAAAUAUUUCACCAUCCAGAGGUACUCUCGAGACAGAGUUCACAGCAACAGGAUAUUAUUAUUUAUUUAAUGGUACAGUGAUCUGCAUCAUUCCCUACAUCAUAAUUAUAAUACUGGUGUCUGGUGUUGUCAUGUUGAUUUUCCACAAAACAAGGUAGGAAUUUAUGAUAAUAUUAAUUGACAUGCUAUUUAUUUGCUAAAAUAUUUUAUACCUCAGGGGGUUAUGUGUCUAUAUAAAAGGUUAAAGGUUCAUAAAUAAACUGAGGACAAAUUACCCAUGUCACUUAAUUACUAUAGAGUAGUAAUUUGCCUGCAAUUUUCCUGGAGUAGAACAUAUAGAGUGGUAGCCAAAACCAGCUAUAAAAAUGUGAAAUAUGGCCCGAUAAAACUGAAGUCAAUGCGAUAUGCCCUGUUUAGUUAACCUGCCCUGUAUCUUCUCACGCGAAAGGGCGUUAUCUGGCUAGAAACUGAUUUGUUACAGAUUAGUACUGAAAUACAGUGUUUCACCAGUGGGUGUCAUGCGCUGAAGCUCGUGAGUACCAGAAACACAAAGCUUACAUAGAGCUGAAGUCAUUUUUAUACUGUAUGAUUGCGGCAAUAGCUCGAAUAUCCCGAAGCCUCCAGUAUAUCAAGAAGUUAAGCAGUGCUUUCGGCGAAGAGAGGGAUAAAAGCA